rnacentral:lncRNA from 1 species
UCUUACAUGAAACUCUUGUCAUGGCUCCUGCCAGAUUGGACCAACUAUUUUUUGGUGUUGAAGGUGGGACAUCAACUGCUUUGUUUUCAUUUUGUUUUGUUUUGGUUAUUUCUUUUCUGUGCUAUUACAUGUCCGAUAACACUGAACAAGACAGUUAAUUCUAAGUUCUGCUACCACAUCUGUUACAAUAAUAACAGAAACAAUUUUAUACCAAUUUCAUGCUGUGAAGAUGACAGGAAGUGCUGGAUACAAGGCACAGAACCCAGUGCCUGAAGCAUAUAUGUGAUAUACAUGUUGGUUCUGGUUUCUAGAUGAUUCUUGUGUUCAGAAAUGGCCCUACUUUCCUAUCAUUUUACUCUUAAAUAUUUAAGAUCAUUUCUGAAACUCAUACAAAUCUGAAAUGUAACAAGCACUUUUAAAAUGGGAGGGUGGGCAGGGCAUGGUGGCACAGGACUGUAAUCUCAGCAACUCAGGAGGCUGAGGCAGGAGGAUCACAAGUUUAAGAACAGCUUCAGCAACUUAGGGUGGCCCUAGGCAACUUAGUGAGACACUGUCUCAAAAUAAAAAAGGAAUGGGGAUGCAGCUCAGGGGUAAAAUCCAGUUACCUCCCCAUCCCCUGAAAAAGGGUAGGGAAGAUAGCCACAUUCAAGUGGAAAUAUUAAUGGCUCCUCGGAGGACAGGGACUUCCUUGUUUUGCUUCACUGCUACAUUUCCUACAUCUGGAACAGUGAGUGACUGUAAAUAAGAGGACUUGAAUAAGUAUCUGAGUAAUGAAUGAAACAAACUGGGAACAAUGUAGUGAGAAUAUUCUACUUUGGGCCCUUGGGCCAGAGAAAUAUCUAGCAGAGCAAAUAGAAACGUAAACAGCAGGGUUUGGUAGUGAGAAUUUGAUGCCCAGGAGCACAGGGGCAAUGUGGAUGUGGUUUAUAGUUUCACCACCAUGACUUGUUAUCCAGCUCAUUUCCAGCCAGCUCAACUAGAUGGCUU